AUAUAUAUAUAUAUAUAUUUAUAUAUAUUCUUUUAAUUAUAGAGAUCGGCAUAUAUGCAUUUAAUCCAACCAAACAGUUGUUAUCUUGUGCAUAUACAAACCAUUAAACCAGUUACAUGGAGACAAGAAAGAUUUUAGCCCUUGACAAUGCAAGAGUCAACCUCCACAUGUUGCCUUAUUUUAUGCAUAAAUCUCUGAAAAGCUUACUGAGGUGUACUUUUUUUUUUUUUUUUUUUGGAAAGGGUCAUUUACUAAAUAUAUUUUUAUGUCUAAAGUUGCAUUACGCAUACAUGUAAAUACAAUUACAAUUAUUAUUCAUUUGUUAUAUAUGAUGUAGAAAUGCAUUUAUAUGUAACCUACAGGUAAUUCGUAUACUGAUAAAUAGUCUUUGCUCAACAGUCAAAUAUUCUCAGUUUCAUGCAUAAUAAAUCUGCAUGGGAAAGCACAAUUUCUUUUAAUAGAUUUCUAACUCAAUGGCAAUGUCAAAUCUACAAAAUGUGUGUUUGUUACAGUAUACAGUACAGUACAGAAGCCUCGGGGCAACAGUGUGAAAUAAUAUUUAUAAGUCUUAUUAUCAGAGAGUAAGAUAUCUUACAGUACAGAAAAUGCAUAUGCAGAUUUUCUCAUUUAGGGAUUACAUCUUUCUAACUGAAAUCACAUUUUUGACUUUAUUCUACCAAACCCAAAACCAUCUGACUUUAAAGAAUUGUUCAAAUCACAAAAAUGUUUUAUACACUAAGAAUACUAUUACUAUUUAUAGAAUUAUGUUGCUAUUUUCUUUACUGUCUUUUGUCUUUACUGUCAAGUCAGUGGAGGUGCUGAAAUUAAAUUUGCGAUGGUAACCUAUGUAAGAAAUAUACUGUAUCUAGUGUGUUCUACUGUGUUCUGCUUUUCCGUAAACAUUAUUUGUGAAAUUGCAUAGCAAACCAUUAAAACAUAUGCUCAGAUUGUUUGAGAUGUGUUGGGGGUGGUUAUUCUGAGAAUAGCUUUUUAUUUUGCCGGUAAAAUUUUAACCAAAAACAUUCAGGCAAUGCAUAUACACAAUAGAAUUGUUAACAGAAAGUACUGUGUACUAGAAAAUACUGUAAUACAAAGACCACAACAUUUAUUUUAAUUCAGCUUUUAUGUUCUUGAA
ensembl:lncRNA